GAACUACAGGGUGAGAGUCUA
rnacentral:misc_RNA from 1 species